UAGGGAAUUUUCCGCAAUGGGCGAAAGCCUGACGGAGCAACGCCGCGUGAGGGAUGAAGGUCUUCGGAUCGUAAACCUUUGUCUAGAGGGACGAUAAUGACGGUACCUCUGGAGGAAGCCACGGCUAACUACGUGCCAGCAGCCGCGGUAAUACGUAGGUGGCAAGCGUUGUCCGGAAUUACUGGGCGUAAAGGGCGUGUAGGCGGUUUUUUAAGUCAGACGUGAAAUCGAUGGGCUUAACCCAUCAAUUGCGUUUGAAACUGGAAGACUUGAGGAUCGGAGAGGGCAGUGGAAUUCCCAGUGUAGCGGUGAAAUGCGUAGAUAUUGGGAGGAACACCAGUGGCGAAGGCGACUGCCUGGACGACACCUGACGCUGAGGCGCGAAAGCUAGGGGAGCAAACGGG
rnacentral:rRNA from 2 species